CUGCCGGUGGUCGUGGGACCGCCGGUGGUGAUUUUCCGGCCGGCGAUUUCCUGGGAGAUGGAGGUUUGCGGGGUAGCGGUUCGGGCCCCAAUCCCUUUCCUUUCGUUCUCCCUCGCCCUUCCUCGUCUCUCGGUUCCGUGGCCGACUUGAUGAAGAAGCAGCAGCAGGAGAUUGCAUCCAUGGCCGGAUGCUGUAUCCUUUGCUAUCUUAUUCAUUAACAUGAUCGUGUUUGGAGCGCUGGUCUUUCUGCCCGUUGAUUGAGAUGCAUUGGGCAUAACAAUUGGUGUUGGGAGACAUCAAAUGAUCCACGAAACCAGGUUUAUCCUCAGCUCUUUGGAGUAGGAACUUGUUGCUUGCCACAAAAGACCUGCUUCAGGGACCGGAGACCCUUCAUGACUUGUCUGAACACACAAGCUCCUGCACCACAGACACUCGACCUGAGGUUUCGAUGCCGUCGGCCCCGUCUUCCUCCUCGAUCGGCUUCCUCCAUGACCUUGUAGAUCAAGAACCUCGCCCGCCAGUGCCGCCGCUCCUCGGGGUCCUCCUUGUCGACCCUUGCGUAAGGGUGUGCCAUCCUCAACAAGCUCAUCUCUCAUGAAGAAGCGGAAGAAGAUAAGAGAGGGAAGGCCACCAAGAAGACAGAUUACAUAGCGAUCUUCCUUUGGAUGAAGCAAUUGUCUGUGCUGCGAUGAAGGCAAUGCUUGCCUUCCUAGGCUACAUCGACAGCAGAUGAAGCCAAGAGUGGGAGGCGCAAUGAGGUACAAGCAAUUGCAUGUUCCUUGUCAGAUCAAUUCCUGUCGGCUACGUGUUUGUUUAUUGGCUUCAAUGACUCCUCGGUCAUUAUUAUAUCAUAGUAAAUUACCAAUAGAUCCCAAUCAAA